GGAUGUGACACAGCUGUUCGGUGUAGGGACGAGGGUUAUUUCUAGCAUCACUGGAGUUAAGAAUCGCUGAUAGGGUGGGAAGCAAACAGCCUUCGUGAGACAACUGAGUAUCCCUGUCCUCACCCAGGAGUCUUACAGCCAACUUGCUGCGAAGUGCGCUGCAGGUCCUUAUAAUGGUGAGGCCUAUAUUCAGGGGGCGGCCAGAAGGCUACACAAAGGAGGUACCUCCACACCUGUGGGCAUGAAAUUGGGUGUGGGUCCUAUUCUUUUUUUUUUAAAUUUAUUUAUUUUAAAUAUAUUUUGAUUGAUUUCAGAGAGGAAGGGAGAUGGAGAGAGAAGUAGAAAUGUCAAUGAUGAGAGAAUCAUUGAUUGUUCUUCCUGCACACCCCACACUGGGCAUGUGUCUUUGACUGGAAUUGACUCGGGGACCUUUCAGUCCGCAGGCCAACGCUCUAUCCACGGAGCCGAACUCGCCAGGGCAAGGGUCCCAUUCUUUUCUCUUUAUAAACUCACCAUAGAGAGCUUGUCCACCCAACCACCACCACCCGUUAGGAUUUCGGAAUCUAUGUUUGUGUCUAGCUAGCAGUACCUUCAUUCUUGCUGAAAAGCAUGUAAAAUGAAUACUCACCCAAGUGUGAAAGUGACCUGUUUCCCUGUAUCAUUAUUGGAAGGUAGAGCCAGUGUCCCCACACUUCUGCCGAGUUCAGUUCCUUGCCCUCUGGACUCUAUGCGGUCAGGAUAUUUGCUCUAGAAUUUCUAUUCAUUUCUUUUUCAAAUCUUUUAAAACAGUGUGCACUUCUCUGCUGAAAUUGUCAAGCUUGUCUUCAGUUUCUCUGAACAGAGUAGGCAUGGUUGCAUGAGAGACUGUGUUUGGUAGUCCAGUAUUUCAAGGUUUGUAAGUCUGUUUGUUGCCAUUUGUUUUGACUGUUCUCACUCCUGCUAUUGUGUUUCUUUGGGCGUUGGAUUUAUAUAUUUGAAAAUUUAUAUAUAGGAAUAAAUUGAGGCCCACGAUGAAGGUACCUUCAUAAAGGGGGUGAAGUGGGGGCUGUUUGCUUCUGCCAGGGCUUAGGCCUAUUGGCCUGAGAAUGCCUUUGAACAAUGGCAGACCUGUGGUUCUCAGACUCUGCAGGUGAUGCCAAGCCAGGCUGCAGGGUUGCCUCCUCCUAGUUGAUCCUUGUCCUGAGAGCUGUCUUAGGCCCCAUCCCCAACCCCCAUCAGGCUCCUAACAACUACCACAGACUUGGGUGGCUUAGAAACAAGAGAAAUGGACUUCUCUCAGUCUGGAGGCCGGGAAGGCACCAUCAGUGGCCUGGAGACUUGGUGUCUGCUGAGAGCCCACAUCCCGGUCACAGCCAUCUCCUCAUCGUCACUCACCCGGUGGAAGGAGAGAGCUGUCUCCGGGGCCUGUUUUAUAAGUCGGGGAAGCCACGUGAGGAACACUUUCACCGUAGAACAGCCUCCUCCCUGGCUGUGAGUCCUGUUUCCCUUGGCCAGCCCAUCGCCAGCCCCUGCCCUGUGCAGUCUCUCUAGAAAGAUAAGAUCCAUCUGUCGACAGCCCUCUGCUGUCGUUGGGGCAUCAGUCAAGCAGAGUCAAUUAAGUUUGCUGCAGCCGUGCGCUCCUGCGUGCACGGCCCAGGGCGGGGUCAGCACCUGGCCUUCCCCAGCCGUCCUGCCCGGAGGCGGAGCUGUUUCCACACACCAGCUCUGUGGGCUGCGCUUCUCCCCCUUUCUCUUGUUUGCCCUCCCCCCACUGAAAACCACCACCACCCCAAUAAAUCUGCUGUUGGAUGUGAAAAGGAAAAAUAAAAGUUAUCCUUUUUUGCCAUUUUACUCUUUUUCCUCUACUUCAUCACAUUUUCAACCAUAUGUGUCGGUCACCUGCAUUUGCCCAAGCCCUGCUUUAGAGAGUGAGGACAGGGCACAGCGCCCGCUCUUGCCCCCAAGGAGCUGGCUGUGGAGGGAGAGACAGACACAGAAACCACCGAGAAACUCCACGUUACAAGACAGAGCGUUUAUUUUGGUCCAGAUGCUCUGCCGGGUGCUUUCUGUGCAGAACACUCCGAGGGUUCCAGUCCCUGCUCUGCGUUCUCCACGUUCCUGGGUCUUUAGGGAGCUGUUUCCUGGGAGGACAUUAGCGAUGUGAACUUCAGGGUGUUGUUUGUGGUCUCUCCCCAGUGAUGUAGAAUCAGGAUACUUCAUUGAUGAGCAACCCGGGCUCUGGGGCAGCGAUUCAAAUCCCAGCUCUGCCGCUUGAUGGCUGUGUGACCUUAGCCAAGUUACUUAACCUCUCUGUUUCUCAGUUUCUUCAUUUGUAAGAUUAGGAAACAAUGACAGUCGUUAUCUUAGGGUUGCUGUGAUGCUUAAAUGAUGCAUUUCUCGUGGGGUACUUAGGACAGCAUUUACAACACUCGAAUACUGUUGAGAAGUGAGCAGGACUUCGUGAAAUGUUGUAUAGGACUCGUGGGUUCUUGGUGGAGAGAAAAACCAAUUUGCUAAGUGCUGUCAGCACAUGCUUAACAGAGGCACCUGGCUACCGUAAAGGAUGGAAAAAGGUAUUGAUGGGGUAUUAUAGUCAAAAGUUUAUCACCAUUGGUUUGGGCAAAAUGAUAACCACCAUUCAAUAGCUAAUGCGUACGGCUCUCUGUGUUAGAUGCAUUCAUCCUCCUAGUGCUGUAAGGAGGAUGAGUGGACACUCCAUCCCCCAGGGGGCGCCUGACCGCAGAGCCUCUGGGUGGCAGGGUGAUGGGUGAUAUUUAUUUUCUUUUCUGUAUUUUCUAAAUUGUCUGUGAUGUCACAGAAAACAUUUAUAAUCAGAAAUGAUGUGUUUUUUAUAAAAGCUAAUUUUGUCUACACCAAGCAUGUCAAGCUCAAAGGCUAACACAGGCCAAAUAAACGAGGCAUGUGGCCCGCGGGCCACGAGUUUGACAUGCUUGGUCUACACUGUGCUAGAAGGGCUAGGAGUGCCAGGGGUGAGUGGGCUCGCUGAGUAACGCAGAGCCGGCGGGGGCUUCAUGAGGAGAUGGGGCCUGGAGAAAGGGCAGAAUCCGGACUUGCUCAGUGCGGGAGGAGGGCUGGCACCCGGGCCUGGAAUCGAACCAAGCCGUGUGCCAAUUUAAGUUGAUUAUGGCUUUUGUUUUUUGCUCACAUUAUA